GUGGAGUUCUACUGUCAGUUUUCUACUGUCGCUGGAGUUCUACUGUCGCAUCCAAAGAAAUUUUUAAAAAUUAAUUAAAAUAUUGGGGUUCUAUUGUCGGUGGAGUUCUUCUGUUUUUGGAGUUCUACUGUCAGCAACCCCAAUAUAGGAUAGCGCAACGUUAGUCUACAGCACCUAGCGGCCUGACAAGGAAACGUGAAAGGGUCGUGCAGCCUACCGUCAACUAUUUUGUUCAAAAUCAUUAAUUGUAUUUUACUGAAUGUGCCAUGAAAAUGAUACAGGAUUCAUCAUUAUCGGCUGUUUGUAUUGGACUUGCUAGAUAACCAAUCCAGCAUUAACUAAUCUCUCAUUCCUACUUCUUUUGGGAACCUUGGAUAGCUGAUCGAUGGUUUCAUGUGUUCGUCUAAUUACACAUUUCUAAAUUGGCAUGGCAGACUUUAUGAGAAGUCACGUCCUUUCAAAAAAAAAAAGGACAAUGACUAUACAGACAGCAAGGUUCCUUGUUUGCUAACCAUUGGCUGCUACCCUUGAAUCUCCCUUUUUACUUCCUUACAAGGGCCCUCUUCAUUUGAGGGUAAUCCUACUAGCAAUCCUUUGAUACUUGUCAUGGACUUUAUCCACUGGUGAAAAUCAACAAUAGAAUGCUGUAACUCAAGACUUAUAAAUUGUGUAGUUAGCUAAAUUACAAGUGCAUAUCUGGGCUCCCUUCAUUUCUGUGGCCCCGUUUCCCUAAUUGACCACUAACCAACGCUCGCCGGUGGUCACUCACCCGCUGUGAAACCAGGAG
rnacentral:lncRNA from 1 species